CAUGAAAGUUCUUUGGCUACACACAUCUCCUGUACCUCACUUCCUUUUAUCAUUUUCCCUGCCUCUUUAUGUAUAAUAAAAGAGGAGAAAAGGAAGAUUCUCAAGGCUAACACAAGCAGUUCCCAAACAAUAGCCUAUCUUGAUUGAAUUCCAAUUGAACAAGAGUGUGUAGUGGAAAACCUUAACUUAUAGUCUAUUCAAUUAAUGACUUCAAUAGAGUUUGUUAAGCAACAGAAAUG
rnacentral:misc_RNA from 1 species